rnacentral:rRNA from 1 species
GAUUAUGGCUCAGAAUGAACGCUGGCGGCAUGGAUUAGGCAUGCAAGUCGAACGUGCUCCCUUCGGGGAGAAAGUGGCGAAAGGGUGAGUAACACGUGAGCAACCUGCCUCCGGAUCCGGAAUAAUCCAGGGAAACUUGGUCUAAAACCGGAUGAAGACAUUGGUCCGCAUGGUCUAAUGUUAAAAUAUUUAUAGUCCGGAGAGGGGCUCGCGGCCCAUUAGCUUGUUGGCGGGGUAAUGGCCCACCAAGGCUACGACGGGUAGGUGGUCUGAGAGGAUGGUCACCCACACUGGGACUGAGACACUGCCCAGACUCCUACGGGAGGCUGCAGUCGAGAAUCUUCCGCAAUGGGCGCAAGCCCUGACGGAGCGAUGCCGCGUGAGGGAUGAAGGCCUUCGGGUUGUAAACCUCUGUCAUCCGGGACGAAAACAAUGACGGUACCGGAAAAGGAAGCCACGGCUAACCACGUGCCAGCCGCCGC